GAAGGCUCAAAUUUAAUACCAAAAAUUACAUCUUAAACCUAGAUUUAAAAUUAAAACUAGGUCCUUCAUUAUUAAAAAAAUGCAUGACAGGUCCUUAUUUUAAAAAUUACAGUGUGACCCUAUUCUCUUAAUUGUAGAUAGAGGCCUUUAAUCUCACAAAUUGCAACAGAGGCCCCCGUCCCCAAACUACCACGGCCGACCGAAGCAGGUUGCUCCAAUUCUGCCCUUUUUGGCCCUUUAUUUUUUUUUCUUUUUAUCCUCGUCUAAUAGGAAGAAACCAAAUUCAUCAGAUGCAAUAUUUCUCCAAUUCUCAUCUAAGUAGAUCAUAUGCCCACUAUCCAGAUAUGGUCUAUAGACCUCACAAAUUGAGAACAGAGGUGAACCACCAAAAGCUUAGCCCAAAAACUCUAAAUCCAUCCCACAUGCAGUUAUGCGGAAGAAGAUCGCACAAAGACCAAGUCUUCAUCACAAGAGAAGGAAACGGUUUGGACAACUCUCGAGAAAAUACCACUAUUGGAAGCCUGUGAUGAGCAAAAAUGAUGAUCAAUGAAAUGGAGCAUGAAUAAGCAAGUAUUGAAUAAGAUUGGAGUGGAAAAUAGGCUUGGAAAAUAAAGUGAAGAGAAGCAAAGCAGUGGCAUUGGCAUUGACGCCACGACGCCAAAAAAGGGGCGCCAUGGCGCCCCAAAGCGAUGAAUUUCAAUAGAACCACUGGCGCCGUGGUGCCCAAUGAAGACCAACAAAAGCAGAAACUCUGGCGCUAGUUACCAUGAUAAUCGCGGUGACAUGGCGCCAUGCUUGGGCGCCGUGGCACCAAAUCUCGAAACGUUAAAACCUAAAUUUUUAAUUAUCUUUUCGGCCAAAAAAUCAUACCUUAACCCUUGAGGACUCUUAGAAAAUAUAAAUACCAAGAUGAAGAAGGAGAGAGGGGGGUUAGACGGCUGAAGAGGCAAGAGAAAGAGAAGCACCAAUUGAGAGAAGAUUAACCCAAUUUUGGAGAAGAAGAAGGCAAAAAACUGAGAAAUCAAGCAACAAGAUUGAGAAAUAGAGCAGCAACUAGAGUUUUUUUCUAUCUUUCUCUUAUACAUGCACUCUAGUUUGUAUUUCAUUGCAAUUUUAUUCUCCAUCAUGAACUAAACUUUUAAAUCUAGGGUUUGAUGUAACCUAUUUGAGACAUGAUUUAAUUUCCUUAUAGUAUUUUCAUUUAA